GCCCGCGGCAAGAUGGCGGCGCGCUUCUACCAAGCGGGAGCUGCUCCGGAAGCAGCUCCCCGCCGCUAGGACUCCUGUGAGGUUUGUUGCUGAGCGAAGGUGAUGCACUGAGUAAAAUGAGAAAAGCUGCAGUUGAUGUGCUGCAGUUACAGGUUUCCCAGGAGAAAGAGUAGCCGGUCUGUCCUGACUGUAUAGACAGGAGAAACAGGAGAAAAGCUCUUUCCAGUGAGAUGGAGAAGGAAUUAAUUAUACCUCUGCCUCAUCCCGUGAGACCAGAAGACACUGAGUAACUAACUGUAAGCUGCGAAUCUCAGGAGUCGCAUGGCUAGGAGUCUCAGGUUCCUCCUCUGCCUGGCCCCAGGGAUGAAAAACCUUAGGUUUUAUGUUUUUUCCCUAUGAAAUCCUGUCACUUUAAGGGACAUAGCUAGCUAAUUGUUAUGGUUCUGGUCAGAUUCAGGGUACUGGACUAUCAUGGACACGGAUUCACCCAAUAACGUAGCACGCCCUUGCUCUAGUCCCGUUCAAUGAGAACUGUCACGGCUAGGAACAAUGCAAUGAACAGCAAUUCCUUAGAGCAACAAGGACACGGGUUCUUUGGAUUGCCGGCAAUAAAUUCUCUGUCCGCAAAAGCAAGCGAGCACGCAUGAAAUACACAGGUACUCAUCCUGGCUGUGCGUUAAAAGACACAAAGGCUCUAGAUAUUCCUAAGUUUCCAAGGAGACACGUGGUACAACCAAGUGUUCCAAUAUUACCCCGCAGCAUCCCAGUGCGGGGGGAGGAGAGGCUCAGCCCAUCAACUGAUUGCAGAAGUCAGAAAGGUAUCCUUUGUGAUGGUAUCUUUCCUAACAUCCUCUUUCACUUAAGACAGUUACAUUGUUUUCUCUCUUUUAGGUGGAGCUUGAGUGACUCUAGCCAGGCAUUCCUUGGUUAUGAUUGGUGAAAAGAUUUCUUGCUUUCCUUUAAAGGUAUAGGGUCUGAGAAAUUCAGAGCGCAUGCUCAGGACGGAGUGUUUGCACCUUGGAGGCAUGGAGCUUUUGGUAUGGAGGUGUGUUUUGGUAUUACGAUGAUGCUAGAAUGAGCAAAAGUUGCCUAGAGUACGGAGUUUUGUCAAAAACAUGACAGGUCAUUGGCUCAGGGUAGCAAAGGUGCAGCUUAUCUGUCUCAGUGUGCACAAGAGCAUUGGGUCACCGUCUGGUCAUAGAGCCUAGCCGCAGUGUCUCCACUCUGCUCUGAAAGCUUCUUCAAUGCUGUACGUUUUCUUUAAAAAGUGAAUUAUUAGUUUAAUUUGCCUAGUUACUUCAGGCAGUUACUCCACAGCUACCCAAAGCAGCGAUAGUGACAAGCCCACUUCCAGCAUCCGUUCCCCACGGAGGGAUGGACAGAUGGACGGACAGAUGGACGCCGCUCUUUGCCUUGCCCAGCAGGGGAAGGCGAGAAUGACCGGGCAGAGAGCCCCACCGCAGCCCCCCUCCCGGGAGUCCUGCACAGCAGUUUAAUAAAGUUUGGCGUGUGCCCUCUUU